UGUAAAAUAAGCUAAUUUUAAGCUAUUGGGCUCAUACCCCGGACAUGAGAUUAUUCUCUUUUACAA
rnacentral:tRNA from 1 species